UAAGUAGUUUAGUGCCUGAAUGGAUGGAA
rnacentral:piRNA from 1 species